rnacentral:rRNA from 1 species
GACGUAGGGCGCAAGCGUUGUCCGGAUUUAUUGGGCGUAAAGAGCGUGUAGGCGGCCAUACAGGUCAGCUGUGAAAACUCGAGGCUCAACCUCGAGACGUCGGUUGAAACCGUUUGGCUAGAGUCCGGAAGAGGAGAGUGGAAUUCCCGGUGUAGCGGUGAAAUGCGCAGAUAUCGGGAAGAACACCCGUGGCGAAGGCGGCUCUCUGGGACGGUACUGACGCUGAGACGCGAAAGCGUGGGGAGCGAACAGG